GGCUGGUCGAAGUGCAGUGGGGUUUACACAUAAUUGAUCACAACCAGCUAUAUAUUUCUUUGUUCCUUCCUACUCACAAUGCUUCACUUGACUUGACUUAA
ensembl:misc_RNA Y_RNA Y RNA